GGUCCCCGUAGUGAACUAGUUCCUAAGUUGACUAGUCAAUGAGGUGAUAGUUCGUCCGGAUGACGUACCUCCGCAAACCCGAUCUGAGAAAUUCAAGUUUCUGCAUCCUUCUAUGUUUGAUAAGGUCAUUUUGAACGGUCGGAUUGAACGUGGCUGGUGUCGUUCACGAUCGAGGCACGUUUAGGUCCCUCGCAGUGAACUAGUUCCUAAGUUGACUAAUCAAUUAGGUGACAGUUCGUCCGGAUGACGUACCUCCGUGAACCCGAUAUGAGAAAUUCAUGUUUCUGCAUCCUUCUAUGUUUGAUAAGGUCAUUUUGAACGGUCGGAUUGAACGUGGCUGGUGUCGUUCACGAUCGAGGCACGUUCAGGUCCCCGCAGUGAACUAGUUCCUAAGUUGAAUAGUCAAUUAGGUGAUAGUUCGUCCGGAUGACGUACCUCCGUGAACCGGAUCUGAGAAAUUCAAGUUUCUGCAUCCUUCUAUGUUUGAUAAGGUCAUUUUGAACGGUCGGAUUGAACGUGGCUGGUGUCGUUCACGAUCUAGGCACGUUCAGGUCCCCGUAGUGAACUAGUUCCUAAGUUGACUAGUCAAUUAGGUGAUAGUUCGUCUGGAUGACGUACCUCCGCAAACCCGAUCUGAGAAAUUCAAGUUUCUGCAUCCUUCUAUGUUUGAUAAGGUCAUUUUGAACGGUCGGAUUGAACGUGGCUGGUGUCGUUCACGAUCUAGGCACGUUCAGGUCCCUCGCAGUGAACUAGUUCCUAAGUUGACUAAUCAAUUAGGUGACAGUUCGUUCGGAUGACGUACCUCCGUGAACCCGAUCUGAGAAAUUCAAGUUUCUGCAUCCUUCUAUGUUUGAUAAGGUCAUUUUGAACGGUCGGACUGAACGUGGCUGGUGUCGUUCACGAUCUAGGCACGUUUAGAUCCCCGUAGUGAACUAGUUCCUAAGUUGACUAGUCAAUUAGGUGAUAGUUCGUCCGGAUGACGUACCUCCGUGAACCCGUUCUGAGAAAUUCAAGUUUCAGCAUCCUUCUAUGUUUGAUAAGGCCAUUUUGAACGGUCGGAUUGAACGUGGUUGGUGUUGUUCACGAUCGAGUCACGUUUAGGUCCCCGUAGUGAACUAGUUCCUAAGUUGAAUAGUCAAUUAGGUGAUAGUUCCGUCCGGAUGACGUACCUCCGUGAACCCGAUAUGAGAAAUUCAUGUUUCUGCAUCCUUCUAUGUUUGAUAAGGUCAUUUUGAACGGUCGGAUUGAACGUGGCUGGUGUCGUUCACGAUCUAGGCACGUCCAGGUCCCCGCAGUGAACUAGUUCCUAAGUUGAAUAGUCAAUUAGGUGAUAGUUCGUCCGGAUGACGUACCUCCGUGAACCCGAUAUGAGAAAUUCAUGUUUCUGCAUCCUUCUAUGUUUGAUAAGGUCAUUUUGAACGGUCGGAUUGAACGUGGCUGGUGUCGUUCACGAUCUAGGCACGUCCAGGUCCCCGCAGUGAACUAGUUCCUAAGUUGACUAGUCAAUUAGGUGAUAGUUCGUCCGGAUGACGUACCUCCGUGAACCCGAU
rnacentral:lncRNA from 1 species